rnacentral:lncRNA from 1 species
GGAGCCGUGCUGCGGCGGGAGGGAGUCCCGCGCCUGCCUGGAGCUCAGGGGGUCGAGAGAGGAGACCUUGAGUCUUAAACGGCCGCUGUGUUGAAGGCUGGCCUCCCAUGGAUAUGGUCAGCUAGAGGAGACCUUUCAAUGCCAAGGCUCUACGAAAAUGCUGGUGACCCUGAGAUGAAUGAGCCUCUAGUCUUGGCCUCAGCAAGCUCCCAGGAUUUAGAGAUGGUCCCACAGCGUCACUCAAGGCCUCUGGAUACAAAGGCGCCCUGCUGGGUGGUUUUCAGCAGGAACCCCGUGAUCAAAUUAAAAGCUCGACCACCAGGAAGUGAGGACUCAGGACGAACCCAGGGGCAUGAAUGUGCUGCAUCAUUCCCAGCCAGAGGAGGAAAGUGAAGUUUCCCCCUGCAGGACCGCUAGCCCGCCUCGUCCACAAGCAACCUCUUCCUGUGAAACAAAAGCAGAGACAAACUGAGGGAAGCAAGAAGUUUAAUGAAGGAAAAAUAAGGAAACCUCAGGGGUUUGCCACUGCUCAUUGAUUUCUAGGUCUUGGCUGGCUUCUGGCCUCCAAGGAGCACAGAAAGGGUCCUAGCAGAUGGAGUGAGCAGGCAAGUUUGGGGGACCCUAAAUGCACAAGUGAUGGGCCUUGGCGCUGACUUGCUCUGUGAACCAGUAGCUCCGACAGGUGCCACAGGCAGGAGUGGUUGCAGCGGAAAAGGAGCGGCCAGCCAGAGAGGCACCUGCGGAGACCCACACCGCGGGGAAGGUCCGAACAAGGUCUUCUCUGUGCAGACGCAGCGCCGGCCCGUGGGAGGAGGAGCUGCCCACGCC